CGCACCGCCUCGGCGGCGCUUAGCCUUGUGGGAGCCACUCUUCGGUGACGUCAGCACUCGGGCCUGUUGGUGGAGAGAUGCUCCUCAUUGGCUGAAUUCAGUAAGAAGCCAGAGGGAGGGGACCUGUUAAUGCAGCCCAUCCCUUGAAAGAAUCCAGCCAGUCUCCUGGGCCAUGGAGCACAUGGAGAAUGGAUCUGAAUGGGCAAGUGGAACAUACCCAGAGGAUUCUUCUUCCUGGAGAGGUUAAAACUGAGACCUAAAGUGUAACUUACGGGAGACCCCAUGGUGCACUAAUAACAGGACGAGGGCCAGGGGAGGGAAGUAAAUCAAUACAGAGUGCAUGCUGUGCACCUGCUGUUGUCCUAGGCGUUUUCUACACAUCUUCUCCAAUUUUCACAAGUCUUCAAGGUAGAUGUUAAUUUUAUCACUGUACCGAGGAGAUAAUAGAUUCUCAGACAGUUUAACAGCUUGUUUAAUAAUAUACAGCAGAUAAGUCACCCAGCAGGGAUUUAACACAGGUCUAAAUCUCCUAUUACGCAGCUGUGCUUAAAUAUAGAACCCAUGUCUCAACGUCUGUUGUAUGCUACAAACUGCAUUAAAUAUUCUCUCUAAUAAAAAAAGUUUUAAAAAGGCA